GCUGGCCCGUCCCCCCGCAGCACUUACUGCCGAAAGGGGCCGUGGAGGCGGCAGCCCGCUCCGCCCCGACCGCCCGGCGUCAAGGAAAGCACUUGAAGGCUGCCUGUAGCCGUCAGGCUCCCCAGAAUUUCCUGCUCUCUGUGCAGUUGCGCCCGGGAUCCCAGCUGCCCCAUUGCCUCGGCGGGAAGUGGCACCAACAACACAGUGAUACCACCUGCAGGUCAUCAUAUCCAAAGAGAAAAGCCUCCCAGUUGUUACCUGAUUCUGAAGCACCACAGUGACUGGUCGCUCUGAGGAGCCAGGUGGAAGCAACAUGAGUCCCUGAAGUCCUUGGAGGAGUUCGUGGAAGGCCAAGUGGCUGAUACAUUUACCGAGAGGUUUGAACAACAUUUGUAGGGCCUGCAAGAAGGUUACAAUCUGAACUCAAGCAUGAGAUUGCUACAGACGUUUCUCCAAAACAGGAGAGAAAAGAGGUUCCUGGAAGAUAAUGUUUCUACCUGCUCUUGAGUUCCAUGGGGUACAGCAUCAAUAGCUCGGCGAGGGCUAAAACACGUCGAUACAGCUACCUGGCCCAGGGAACCCUCAAUUCGAACCACUGCAUAAAAGGAGUCAAGACAGGCACAUUCCCCUCUCCUUUCCACCCUCCAUUUACUCACAUGUCCUGCCCAACCCAGCAGGUUAGCCCUGGUCCUACCUGACUCGUAAGCCUCUGCUUUUUGAAUGUAAGGCGUUACCAGCUUGAAUGACUCAACUUUGCUCCUUUGCCCAAGUAGUUCUUCAUCUGCCUGCUUCUUCUCUAGUUUCUGAUAAUAUUCCUGUGAGCCCAUGGGAUGGAAAAAUGUAUCCUUAACUUCUGAGUUUAGAAUUAAGGUUCUCAAGUACAACUUCUUAGUAUACCCUUUCAUAUAGCAUUCACUCCAGAAAUAGUCCUGGCACCUCAGGCCAUUCCAGCAAUCAUUCUACAGCAUCUUAAGCACUUCAGGCCUCACACCUCCUGUCUCGGAGUCUCCAUACUGAGGACUUGAAGAGUGAGAUACCACCGCCAGAUGGAAAGGUCAAGAGCAAAGUGGAAAGCCAGGAAGCCAACCUGUCCCAGCAUCUGUACCCUUUCCACAUUCCUUAGUCCCAAGAUACAUGCUGCAUGCCAUGUAUCCUGCCCCCUCCCCAUUUUAAUUUUGUGGUCCUACCUGUGUUUUCCAAAACCAGAGUUAUUUGAUCACACCAAGACCAUCAACACCUUGAAGUACAUAGAUAGCACUACUGUCAGCUGGCCUUUUGGACAGUUUUAUACUUCUGAGGAUUUUCUCAGCACCUCUAGUAUCUUCUUAAAGAAAUUAGUAAAGUCCCAAGCUAAAAUAAAGCCAUUGACUGCUAGUCAAACAAGAAUUUGAAUAAAACUCCUUCAUUUAGGAGAAAUGCCAAAAAGGCAAGCAUAUAAAACUAUUUCACUUUCAGUGAUCCUGGAGGAGAGUUUCUGAAGCAUGGUGGAAGGAAAGAAACUGAUGUAAAUAGGAAGGAGGAAAAGGUGAGAAACUUGGUAGGGGGGCUCAUAGAGUUGAAGAGAAAGUGAAAUAUAGUUUAACCAGCCCUAAAACCCCAUAGACAAUAAUUCACCCUAUAAAGGGGAGAUAGGAAGCAGGGGGAAAUAAGUUAGAAUGUCUGCCAGCCUUUGUUCAGUUCAACAAAUUGAAUCCAUUAUUUAUGAGAUCCCUGUGUUUUAGAUUUAAAUAAGUAAAAGGUAAGCAGAUGAAUGUUUAUAACAAGACAUUUCAAAGGCCCAUAAAAGUAUACAAAAGGCAGAAAAGUUCACAUUUCCAAGCUGAAUAGUAAAAAUUCUUGGCAAAGGAUGGAGACAAAAAUCUUAAAGUACGUUUGGGGAAUUGUAAAUAUCCUAUUAUGGAAGUGUAGGAGAUACAUGGGAAUGAGCUUGGAACACCAGUUUUAGAAAUGUGGCCCCUCUCCUGUAGUGACUGUCUCUCUCCCACCUGAAUGGACAUGGCGUUUCAGAGCUGAAGAGAGGGCCCAUUUGGCCUCAAAGUCAGAAGCUGGGAAGAGCAGCUGGGGCUCACCUGGUAGUAAUAGUCAUCCAGGCGGGGGUUCUCACUCUGCAGCUGAACCAUCUGCACUUUUAUCACCCAGUCCUUCUCUUUUUGGGUCAUGAGGUCAGCACAGGGGUCUGGCUGCUGAGACCAAGGCUUCUUGACUGGGGGACUUCAAGCCAGGAGGAGCAUCCCUUCAGAACAACCCACCCCUGCCACAGUGAAAUUCCCAGCAAGUGGUGGACAGGGAGUGAACUGGCUGGGAAGGACAGGAAAGAGUGCAGAGGUGGGCAACUCUGUGGGACCCUUAAUUGUUCAGGGGCUCUGGGGGAGACACUGCAACACAAGGGACUAGCCAGCAUACUGACAGGGGGCUGUCCACCCUGCUGCUUGUCUGGGCAUUACCUCGGUGUCUGACAAUGUCGCUGCAGCUGCAGGAUCCGCUGGUGCCAAGGGUGGAGCCGGGCAAGAGGGCUGUGAAGGCUUAGAAAGAAACUUGGGCUGGCUGAAAGCAAGCUCUCUCCAUUCAUUUAGCCUCUGGUAACCUCAGCCAGACAUCUAAGGAAACCCUAUCCAUUUAUGUGAUUCCCCAAAGCCAGCCUCAUGGAAGAUCACAAAUCCUAGCUCAGCAGGGCUCACAUUGCCCUCCAAGAUACACUGUCCUGCAAUUUGGCUGCAGGAAAUCUUGACACAGUAAAAAAAUCAUUGGACCUGAUUUUUGGGCAUUCUGAAUCCUACUCUAGGUUUCUGCCAUGCCAGUUAACCUCAAGUAAAUUCUUUUUAGUCUCUCUUGGUCUCCAUCUUCUCUUCUGUGAGGCAGAAAGGAUUGAACUCUACCUCAGACUUCUCUUAAUAAGUUUCCGUAACCAUUUUUCUAGUGGCAGCUGAUAGAGUGGCCCCAUCCCUCCUUAACCACCAGCUCCUGAGAUCUGCGGAGAAGAGCUCAGCCUGUUGUGGACACUGGGGUUCCCAGCACCCGGAACCAGUACCUGAACCUAGGGGGCCAUGAGGUCGGUGGGCUGCAGAAGAGAGAUGGGUCGGGCGAGGGCAGUCGAGGUCCAAAGUGCCGUAUGGGAGAGCUGGCACUGGGAAAGGUGUCUCCUUCGUCUCCUUCCUGACAUCUCACUUUGGGUGCUUCAGCUCCAGAGCAAGGACAAGAGCAGGCUGAACGUGAUGGUAAUAAGGGGCACUUGGCUUGCUGCCUUUCAGCACCCAGUCACUUUCACACAGGAGAGAAACUCACCUGCCACAGGAAGUGCAAGGAGGCAGGUGCCAUCCCCAACACACCAGGGGCCUUCAUUCCAGGGGAGUGGAGAAGACCUCUCUAGAAAUGGAGAGAAGAAAACCCAGGCUCGAAUUAGCCCCUGUGUGUCUUCUACAUUCAUCUGUUUCCAUGGUAGGGAGGGGGACAGCAAGUCCACCGAUUUCCAGUAUCCAGGACAGUGGAAGCCUGGCCAGGACCUCUCUCCUUCCCCUGAGGGGAAGCAAGACUGGUACCUCAGGAGGAGGUUGAAGGAGGUUCUGAGUCACUUCAUUUCUACAUGGGAAUCCUUGUCUCUCUCCACUGGUUGUAGGAACCCAAGGGAGUAAACCAGGAGUGGACUGCUGAGACACAGGAGCCCGGGGUCAAAGAUGAUUCACUUUCAGUGCCAGGAACAGGGCCAUGCACCUUUGUGCAAUGCACAGCCCUGCUCGGAUCUGGUUGUUAAGGUGAAGACAACAUCAGAAACUAAGUGGGAGGGAGACAGGAGGAAAGAGGGAAGGAAGGAGAAUCCCUACUCAGGUUUAAGCUGAAAUAGAAAGUGUUAACUCAGAACCUAUCUUAGGAAGGGGUGGAGAAGAGGAGAGGGAUGUUUAGCAACAGUCCACGAGACACAGACAGUUCAGUUGUCCCCUGAGCCCUCCUGCCAUGGUACCUGGGUGUUAUGGACAGCACUGAGGAUAGCUGGAUCCCUGAGACUGUUCUCUUCUUCCUCUUCCUCCUGGUCUGGGGUUAUAUCUGGAUCCAGAUCCUCCUCCUCUUGCACCUCCUCCUCUUUUUCCUCCAGUGGAGAGGCUGAUACGAGCUCU